UCACUUAUGUUCAAAUCAAAAUGCAACUUUACUGCAUUUCAUUGUUCUUUUAAGUAACGUAAAUAACACUUCAAAAUUAGAAGCUGUCUUACCUCUUUGUAUGCGCCUGUAUCUACGUCUGACGAAGUACAGAACGACUGCAACAAGCCUUGAAUCUGAAUCUCCGCUACAUUAAACGUUAUUCUCCGCAUUCAACUACUACCAAACAACUUGGGAAAUUCAAAGAAUCAAUUGAAGGUAUACUUAAUCUUCAAAUGUUACCAUAUGUACAACUGUUAUAUUCAGCUUUCCUGUCUGCUGCACAUGUAGCAAUACAGAUGACAUUUAACAGAGAUUUUCAUUCUGUAAAGACUGCCUGAGAUUUAGCACAGAUGUUUUUCAUCAAGAUCUCCAUCAGCACCAAAACCUUUAAUGUUUACUUAUACAAUAUCAUUAUCCUCCACUUCCAAAGCUUGUACCAUUUUUCCGAUCACUCACAUAUUCAUGGCACCAUUUGUAGCAACUUCUUCCUCCUGAAUUGAUACUCUACUUUCCCACUCUUUCAACUUUUCCAAAUACAACUUCAAUUUUGCCUCAACUUUAGCUUUUUCAUUUUUUAACUCCUCAUUUUUCUUCUGCAUAUCCUUUAAUGAAUUCUCCAUUGGUUAAAGGAUCUGCAAAAGAAAAAUGAGAAGCUAAAAAAUGAAGAAGCUAAAGUUCGCGCAAAACUUAAGAUAUAUUUGAAAAAAUUCAAAGAGUGGGAAAGUAGAGUAUCAAUUCAGCAGGAAGAAGCUGCUAGAAAUUGUACAACAAAAUACUAAAGCUUUUGUUGCUCAUGGAGAUCUUCAACAAAACCAAUUGUCACCACCUAGGUCUCCAUUAGUUCACUCAACUGCAAAUGGAAAUGCAACUGGAAGUGAUAAAUGAACACAUGAAGGUAUUAUUAUGCUUAUAUCUGUCUUGUAGACCUUUGCUUUUGAGUUAUGCACUCAAUUUUUGUAUGCUUUUCAACUUUGGUUAGGAACUUACAAUUAUUCAGUGAUGCUUUUUGUGGUAUCGUUAAGCUGCCAUAAUGAUAUUGCACAACAAAAUAGUAAAGCUUUUGCUGCUCAUGAAGAUCUUCAACAAAACCAAGUGUCACCACAUAUGCCUCCAUUAGUUCACUCAACUGCAAAUGGAAAUGCAAAUGGAAGUGAUAAAUGAACACAUGAAGGUAUUAUUAUGCUUAUAUCUAUCUUGUUGACCUUUGGUUUUGAGUUAUCCACUCAAUUUCUGUAUGGUUUUCAACUUUGGUUAGGAACUUACAAUUAUUCAGUGAUGCUUUUUGUGCUAUCGUUAAGCUUUAGUUAUGUAGCCAUGUAUCUUCUAAUAUUUGCUUACCUUUGGACCUAAACCUAACUCCUAACUAUUUAUAUGGAACUGCAAAUGUGCUACACACUGACUAUAACUGCAGGCAGAGGUAACACGGACUUCAUUUAUACAAAAAUGAAUCGGGUUAAUUGUCCUGAUGUUUGGACAUUACAUCCCAUGCCUUAUGCUGGUACUUCUGCUUCACUCAAUACCAAUGUUUCCAACAUACAAAAGAAAAGCCGCCAUUCAGAGCUACCAGGUACAGAUAAUUUAUCACGCUUAUUCUUACAUUUCCUUUGUUACCUCUCACAUUCAACCCACAUCUGAAGUUAGCACUAAUGAUUUACUCAAUUUCUAAAUGUUUUUACAUCCAUUGUUCAACAUAUAUUGCAAAUGAAGAAAAUCUAAAUUAUAUUUUUUUUGUUAUACCAAUAGAGCAGUAGUAAUCUGUCUGUCGUUGUCAACUUACUAUUUCGGCUACCAUAUUAACCACAUGACACAGGAUUUGAUGUGUCUGUCUGUCUAUGUAUAUAUAUAUAUACAUAUAUUAUCUAUAUAUAGAUACAUAUAUUAUCUAUAUAUAUAGAGAGAGAGAGAAAGAGAGAAAGAGAAAGAGAGAGAGUAUAUAUAUAUACAUACAUAUAUAAACAAAUAGAUAAAUACAGAAAUUCUUUUUAUCCUUAUUUAGAAACAACAAUUAAAGUACAACUGUCUUCAUACAAAUUCAUCAAGUUUGGUUUGCCACUGAAAUUACUUCCUCCUAUUCAUUUUUCCUUCCUUACGUUUUCUUUUGAUUCUUAGCUUCCCUAUCACAAACUGUAUGUUAUUUUUCUAUAUAUGCAUGUUUCAGAAUGUAAAUAAAUAUGUGUAUAACUUUGCUGUGUAGAGUGCAUCUGUCACCAUUUUUGCCAAUUGUGCACCAGUACUGAAAUGGCCAAUAAUACCAGCCACAACUCUCACUGCAAAUAUACUAACAUCAAAAUUCGUGAGUUUCCUGUCUUUCUUUUGUACUCAAUAUAUGUAAUUAUAUGAAUGAUCUUUAGUCUUUCUCAUAAUGCUGCAAUUUCUGGUUUUUCUCCUUUAAACAUUCCAACUUCCCUUUUUUCCUUCAUAUGUGGUUCAAAAUUUGGUACCACUUUUCAACUACUCUCUCUUAAUUUGUUUGUUUCUCAAAUUUGCUGAGUUUUCCUGAUUAUAUUGUUUUAUACUUUCUAUAACCUUAGUGAAAAUCCUGUCUCCAUCAUUGAAUUUGAAAUUUGACUUUUCUUUCACAUCUCAUUUUCCUUUACCCUAUGUUCUGAGACAACUUAUAUAUGUUUCUGUCACACUUCUAACCAAUUUUCACUCAUACAUGUAAUGCCUUAAACAAACACCUUUUAUUGGUGAUAAUGAUUCUAACAUUUGCUUUUGUUAAGUUAACUUUCUUCAACACUAUUUUUACAUUUAUCGUCAAUAUUUGAACAAUUCUGCACAUUUUAUUCAUUUUACUGUCUGUAGCCAUUUAUACAUUUCGGAACCAUGUAUCUAAGAACACAACAAGUUUUGACAUUACUGUCAACCUGGUACCUAUAUUUUCUUCAUUCUUCAACAACUUACAUCACCCAUACAUCACCAAUGUCAACUGCUGCUGUCAGUUAUUUCUAAAACAUUUUCUCUCUAAAACUUUUUCCAUUUCUCCUAAUAAUCUUACACAGGCACAACAGUGGAACUGUACUGCUGAACUUCUUACUAAUCCUCAGUUUAAUGGGACACAACCACUUCGCAAAUCUACCUCCAUGAAAACUACAGCUGGGCCAUAUAAUUCUUCUAAACAUUACAAUCCACUUAGCCAUCUAAGAAGUCAACUAAUAUGACAAGACAGCAAGAUCAAUGCCAAUUGAGAGAAAGAACUGCUAGGUUAGAUCCUUCAAAUUAAUUGAGCCUUUUUUAAAAUCCAAAUGUUCAUCAUUAUAAGUGUUAAUCUGCAUUUUAUGAUACUUCAUAACGUAAUGAAUACUUUAGGCAGAAAUACUUCAAUAGACACAUUCAUUGCUAUCGUACAAGCAUUGCACUUUCAUCAACUGCACUGUCUUAUGCCAAUAGAGUCAUCACCUAUCUUCAAAUCAAAAUGCAAGUUUACUGCAUUUCAUUGUUCUUUUAAGUAACAUAAAUAAGACUUCAGAAUUAGAAGUUGUCUUACCUCUUUCUAUGCACGUGUAUCUAGGUCUAACGAAGUACACAACAACUGCAACAAGCCUUGAAUCUGAAUCUCUGCUACAUUAAACGUUAUUCUUCGCAUUGAACUGCUACCAAACAUCUUGGGAAAUUCAAACAAUCAAUUGAAGGUAUAGUUAAUCUUCAAAUGUUACCAUAUGUACAACUGUUAUAUUCAGCUUUCCCCUCUGAUGCACAUGUAGCAAUACAAAUGACAUUUAACAGACAUUUUCAUUCUGUAAAGACUGCCUGAAAUUUAGUGCAGAUGCUUUUCAUGCAGAUCUCCAUCAACACCAAAACCUUUAAUAUUUACUUGUAGAAUAUCAUUAUCCUCUGCUUCCAAAGCUUGUACCAUUUCUUCACAUCAGUCAUGCAUUCACGGCACCAUUUGUAGCAGCUUCUUCCGCCUGAAUUGAUACUCUACUUUCCAACUGUUUCAACUUUUCCAAAUACAACUUCAAUUUUGCCUCAACUUCAGCUUUUUCAUUUUUUAGCUCCUCAUUUUUCUUCUGCAUAGCCUUCAAUCAAUUCUCCAUUGGUUAAAGGAUGUGGAAAAGAAAAAUGAGAAUCUAAAUAAUGAAGAAGCUAAAGUUCACGCAAAACUAAAGAUGUAUUUGGAAAACUUGAAAGAGUGGGAAAGUA
rnacentral:lncRNA from 1 species